rnacentral:lncRNA from 1 species
UUUAGGAGUCCUAACACCUUAUUCCCUGACCUACCGCUCAUGAGAUCCUGAAUAGCGUCACUUGUGUUUUGUGGGAAUUCAUCUGGUAAACUGAGCUUUUUGUGCAUGGCCUUGGCUCGGCUUUGGCAGUUACUGUUGAAAAUAGGACUGCUGUUGGGAAAGAUUUCCUGUUUGAAGCAGCCAGAAGCUGGGCUGAUUUCAAUAGGAGCCAGUGACUGGUGGCGAUGGGAGAGCUGCAGGGAACUUUACAGCUGCAAACGUGCCAGCCCCACUGGGGGACAUCGGGGGGCCUGGCCUGAAGGCGUCCAAAGCAUUUUUAGAAUUUGUUUUGUCAAAUGAUUUGCAUUUAUGAAAUGGUUACAGCAGAGUCAUACCAGAGAACUCAAGCAAGACAGGCAACAAGAAAUCUGUCCUCAUCAGUAAGGAGGGUGAACAAAGCAGUGAGUGGAUUCCCUGUGAGCGGGCACAGUGGAAAACAGCAUCACUUGAUGGCAUGAAGAAGAGGUUCAGGAAUUCUAGUGGCAACCGCUACUAUUACGAAAAUAAAGGUAAGGCCCAGUUUUAUGAUGAACCUUGAUCUUAAGGAGUUUAUAACUAGACCGGCUCCAAGUUAUACUUGGAAUACACGGAUACAUUUAUUACAUCAGUGGAUUCCUUC